UGCCCCCUGGCAAUGGGCAAAGAGUCACCUUGUUGGUGGCGUUCUUAGAUCAGUCAGGGACAGAGCAGGUGGCAGUCCUUUGUUAGUCCUAGCUUGAUCCUGGCUUGGUGCCCAAAGCUGAUUUAGGCCUUGGUCACAUAA